rnacentral:lncRNA from 1 species
AUGAGAUUUAAUGUAAGCGGAGCUUUUGAAACACUCCAAAUGAUAUAGGUACACAUUCCUCCGCAAUUUCACCAUCACUAUGUGCCGUGUUCAAUAACUUACACAUUCUCUUUUUUUGUGUUUCAGUGUGAUUCACUUGCAGUUUUCUCUGUUAAGGAAAAAUCUUUAGAAGACUAACUGUGGUCACAUGUUCUCUUCAGUCUGAUAUUGAUCAAAGAGGUGCUGUACUUUAGUGAGAUUUAAUUUUGUCAACACAAUUUUCUGGUGGUCAGUACAACAGACAAAAACUAAUGGUACAGCAAAGGAUAUUUGUCAAAUCCCUGUAAAUGAGUUCUCUGACAGUGUGAUUUUGCUGCAUUUGUAUACUAUUUUCAUCUGAGAUAAUUUAAUCUAAUACGGUCAUUCAAGAAAACUAACUCAAAAAUCAUCAGUGCAAUCUGGUCCUUCUUGAGAAGAUACCUUCCUCUUUUCCUGCAACGUCAAGACAUUUCUGAAGAGGAAAAAUACACACCCCAGCAUAUAGUUUCUCAACCAAAAGACGUCUGUUUCAAACUUGUACGCUCGCAAGAGUCUGUGACCAUAAUGCUACACUUGCUCCAGGAUGUC